UACGUAGGGGCAAGCGUUGUCCGGAUUAUUGGGCGUAAAGCGCGUGUAGGUGGCCAAGUAGGUCCGCUGUGAAAACUUGAGGCUCAACCUCAAGCUGCGGUGGAACCCCUUGGCUAGAGUCCGGAAGAGGAGAGUGGAAUUCCUGGUGUAGCGGUGAAAUGCGCAGGAUAUCAGGAAGAACACCAAUGGCGAAGGCAGCUCGUCUGGGACGGUACUGACGACUGAGACGCGAAAGCGUGGGGAGCGAACGAGG
rnacentral:rRNA from 1 species